GCCCGUGUUAUGAAACAUGAAGCCACAGUCCACAGCCAGCACCCGAGACCUCUCCAUGAGCCUGCUGGGAGCGCUGCUGCUUCCUGCCCUGCUGUGGGGACAGGACGGGAAACCGAGGCCUUGGGCCGCAACACCGGCAUACCAGCGUGAUAAGUAAGCCUUUGCCAUUCAUGCCUCGGUGCAGGAUGUAGUUCGAGUGGGAACCCCACAUGGAGGUGGUCCUCAGUAGACUGGGCAGACAUGCAGGAAUGGUCUCAGGCUGCUGCUUCUCUGCCCCACCUGAGGACUCCCGUGUCACACGGCAACAUUGCCUCGGUGACGUCACGGACUGCAGUCCUGUGCAUGCUGGCUUCCAUCUGUACAAACUCAGGCAGACGCUCCUGAAGACACAGGCUCCACUUCGGUUCCCCCUUCCUGUCUCCUGGUCUCCCUGAAAACUCAAGCUGCUGCAGAUUAGCAGCCCCUUCCGCAUCCACCCAGAAACAGACCCUGAAAUCUGGUGCCUGGCGGGGGGCCAUGUGGAGACAGCCUUGGGUGGCCACCAGCCGCCAGGAACUGGUAAAAGCUGGGACCAACCCUGUCCGAUAGCCUCCAAGGAUCUGGUGUGCCGCCAUCAUGACCUCGGGCUUUUGUCCUCAGCUCUCUCUGAGGAUGGACCGCCCUUGGCGGGGGUGGGGGGGCUGCCUGGCAUGCAGUGCUUCCCUACCGCAGUGCUGCCUGGCAGAUGACCCAGAGGUUCCAGCCCCCGGGUGUCUGGCCAGCACCCACUCCUAUGCCUGCCGGGGCACCCUGCUCAGUGCCCUCUGGGAGCCUGGCCUCAUUCUGCGGCCUGCCUCCCAGAAGGCAUUUCCCCUCCCACCGGAGACGGACAAGGCACUCAGGUAUGAACUCCCAUUUCCUUCUCUCUACCUCAGGCCUGCUCCCUGCACCUAAGACUGGUUCUCAGCUUGCCGAAUAAACCUCCCUCUUCCUGCUGCAGCACCCCGCCCCCCCCAGCACUUGAAUUCAGAGCUCUAGAGGGUGCCUUCACUUCCAGAGCCUCCUCUGUGCUGGCCUCCGCCCCAGAGUCCCUUGAAUCUACCUCGAGUUGCUGAUGGGCACCUGGCUGCUUGUCUCUCAGGUGUGAACUAUCCUGUCAGCUUCCUGCUCCUUGCGCACUGUCUCCUCGGAGUGUCUGUAGCUCACCACUGCCCCUGUGUCUCUUCUCACCACUGCCCCUGUGUCUCUUCUCACCACUGCCCCUGUGUCUCUUCUGAAGAUACUUUUGGGUGUCUGUUGCUCUUCCAAAGCAAUGUGAGCUUGGUUAGGGAAGUUCCAAUCGUAACCCGUAUCUUUCCUGGAAAAUCAACUCCGCCCCGACCCCCUCUCCCCGCUGGCAUGGGACUCUCAGGGUUCAGCUGACGCAGAAGGUAUGCAGAAAGGAUCGGUCGGACAGGUGGGGGUAGGGACAGGUGAGUGGAUAGAGGAUGGAUUGACGUAUGGAAGGGUAGAUGAGUUGGUGACUGGGUAAAGGGGCAGAUAAAUGGAUGGACAA